rnacentral:rRNA from 1 species
UACAGAGGUCUCAAGCGUUGUUCGGAUUCAUUGGGCGUAAAGGGUGCGUAGGCGGCGCGGUAAGUCGGGUGUGAAAUCUUGGAGCUUAACUCCGAAACUGCAUUCGAUACUGCCGUGCUUGAGGACUGGAGAGGAGACUGGAAUUUACGGUGUAGCGGUGAAAUGCGCAGAUAUCAGGAGGAACACCGAUGGCGAAGGCAGGUCUCUGGGCCGAUACUGACGCUGAGGAGCGAAAGCGUGGGGAGCGAACAGG